rnacentral:sRNA from 1 species
UCAGUUUUUGUCUAAGUCUUUCAUCAUAUCUGUCAUCAUGUUUUCAAUCGUUGCUUUGUUAUUGUCUUUGAUUAUGUCUGAGUAGUGAACUGUAUUUCUGAGGAUGGGAUAGAUUAGUUGUGGUUUACUUGGUCGUUUUAGGUGGUUGAGUUUAGAAUACUAGAAUCCCUUCUGGAUUAGUUGCGCUUAUUGCGUG